AAUGAACGCUGGCGGCGUGCCUAACACAUGCAAGUUGAGCGGUAAGGCCCCUUCGGGGGUACACGAGCAGCGAACGGGUGAGUAUCGCGUGGGUAAUCUACCUAGAGGUGGGGGAUAGCCUCGGGAAACCGAGGGUAAUACCGCAUGAGUCCUCAACGGCAUAAGUCGAUGAGGGGAAAGACGGGGCUCCUUCGGGACCUGUCGCCUCUGGAUGAGCUCGCGUCCGAUUAGCUAGUUGGUGGGGUAAUGGCCUACCAAGGCAACGAUCGGUAGCCGGCCUGAGAGGGCGAACGGCCACAUUGGGACUGAGACACGGCCCAGACUCCUACGGGAGGCAGCAGUGGGGAAUCUUGGGCAAUGGGGGAAACCCUGACCCAGCGACGCCGCGUGGAGGAUGACGGCCCUCGGGUUGUAAACUCCUGUCAGGUGGGAAGAAAGGCCAGUCGGUUAAUACCCGGCUGGAGUUGACGGUACCACCAAAGGAAGCCCCGGCUAACUCCGUG
rnacentral:rRNA from 1 species